AGCGGGAUUGGGGAGUCUGGAGUUCCCGCCGGGCUCAUAACCCGGAGGUCGGUGGUUCAAAUCCACCUCCCGCUA
rnacentral:tRNA from 1 species